AGGGGUUAUAGGUUAGGGUCAGGGGCUAUAGGUUAGGGUCAGGGGCUAUAGGUUAGGGUCAGGGGCUAUAGGUUAGGAGAGUUAGGGUCAGGGGCUAUAGGUUAGGAGAGUUAGGGUCAGGGGCUAUAGGUUAAGAGAGUUAGGGUCAGGGGCUAUAGGUUAGGAGAGUUAGGGUCAGGGGUUAUAGGUUAGGAGAGUUAGGGUCAGGGGCUAUAGGUUAGGAGAGUUAGGGUCAGGGGCUAUAGGUUAGGAGAGUUAGGGUCAGGGGUUAUAGGUUAGGAGAGUUAGGGUCAGGGGUUAUAGGUUAGGAGAGUUAGGGUCAGGGGUUAUAGGUUAGGAGAGUUAGGGUCAGGGGUUAUAGGUUAGGAGAGUUAGGGUCAGGGGCUAUAGGUUAGGAGAGUUAGGGUCAGGGGUUAUAGGUUAGGAGAGUUAGGGCUGAACUUUCUGAUUUAGACCUGGGACACCAGGUGGGUGAUUCCCCUCUAAUCAGGGACUGGUUUAGACCUGGGACACC